rnacentral:rRNA from 1 species
UACGGGGGGAGCAAGCGUUGUUCGGAUUUACUGGGCGUAAAGGGCGCGUAGGCGGCCACCGCAAGUCGACUGGGAAAUCUCCGGGCUUAACUCGGAAAGGUCAGCCGAUACUGCGGGGCUAGAGUGCAGAAGGGGCAACUGGAAUUCUCGGUGUAGCGGUGAAAUGCGUAGAUAUCGAGAGGAACACCUGCGGCGAAGGCGGGUUGCUGGGCUGACACUGACGCUGAUUGUGCGAAAGCUAGGGGAGCGAACGGG